AGGUCAACUUUGAGAAAGUGACCCAUUUCCAGGGUCCAGGAGCAUGGGUCCCAGAAGGGCUGUGAGAUCAUUAGCAUUGAAAGCAGCAAGAAGGACAAGAGAGGCUUGCAGGUGAUCUCAAGAUGGAAGACCUCCUCUUCCUCUAUAAUCAUAAUAUUCAAGGGAUGGAGAUUUGAAGAUGGGAGGAAAUAAUCUCAGAAGGAGUAUCUUCUCAUACCGAGAACACAAACAACACGCUUACUACUCAUUCAAAUUUUUAAGGACAAAUUUGAGAGCAUCUUAAUAGGGCUUGGGAGUCACCCAUUUGACCAUAUCCAUCUUCUUGCAGUUAUUUAAAGCACUUACUACAUGUACUUGGAGAAAUCAAAUAAUGAACAACGUAUGUACGACAUCUGGUGGCUCCCAGAUUAUGUUACAUCGACCUUGCCUGGAGUCUGAGCGACAGAGAGAAGGAGGGAGCCGAAUCAGAAUCAGAGAGAUGAUUUCGGUAGAACAGCUCAACUGGCCAUUGCUGGCUUUGAAGAUCGAAGCAGGUCAGCAUCUGGGAACUAUAAAAGGCAAUGAAAUAUGUUCUUCCUUAGAGCCUCCAGAAGGAACACAGCCCUGCCGACAUCUUGCUCUUACACCAGUGAGGCCCCUUUGGACUUCUGACCUCGAGAACUGUAAGAUAAUAGAUUUGUGUUGUUUUAAACCACUAAGUUUGUAG
rnacentral:lncRNA from 1 species